rnacentral:rRNA from 1 species
CAGCAGCCACGGUAAUACGGAGGGGGCUAGCGUUGUUCGGAAUUACUGGGCGUAAAGCGCACGUAGGCGGCUUGGUAAGUUAGAGGUGAAAGCCUGGAGCUCAACUCCAGAAUUGCCUUCAAGACUGCCGAGCUAGGAGGUGAGAGAGGUAAGUGGAGUUCCCGGUGUAGCGGUGAAAUGCGUAGAGAUCGGGAGGAACAUCAGUGGCGAAGGCGGCCAUCUGGGCCAACACUGACACUGAGGCACGAAAGCGUGGGGAGCAAACAGGAUUAGAUACCCCAGUAGUCCCUGUCUCUUAUAC